CAGCAGCCGCCGCGGUAACACGAAGGGUGCAAGCGUUACUCGGAAUUACCGGGCGUAAAGCGUGCGUAGGUGGUGGUUUAAGUCCGUUGUGAAAGCCCUGGGCUCAACCUGGGAAUUGCAGUGGAUACUGGGUCACUAGAGUGUGGUAGAGGAUAGUGGAAUUUCCGGUGUAGCAGUGAAAUGCGUAGAGAUCGGAAGGAACAUCUGUGGCGAAGGCGACUAUCUGGGCCAACACUGACACUGAGGCACGAAAGCGUGGGGAGCAAACAGGAUUAGAUACCCCUGUAGUCCCUGUCUCUUAUAC
rnacentral:rRNA from 1 species